AUUGAACGCUAGCGGGAUGCCUUACACAUGCAAGUCGAACGGAGUGGCGAACGGGUGAGUAAUGUAUCGGAACGUGCCCAGUAGUGGGGGAUAACUACGCGAAAGCGUAGCUAAUACCGCAUACUAUUGGAGCGGCCGAUAUCGGAUUAGCUAGUUGGUGGGGUAACGGCUCACCAAGGCGACGAUCCGUAGCUGGUUUGAGAGGACGACCCGCCACACGGGGAGUGGAACACGGCCCAGAGUCCUACGGGGGGCAGCAGUGGGAAAUUUUGGACAAUGGGGGAAACCCUGAUCCAGCCAUCCCGCGGGUGCGAGGAGGGCCUUCGGGUUGUAAGGCACGUUUGGCAGGAAAGCGGUACCUGCAGAAUAAGCACCGGCUAACUACGUGCCAGCAGCCGCGGUAAUUC
rnacentral:rRNA from 1 species